UACGAAGGGGGCUAGCGUUGCUCGGAAUUACUGGGCGUAAAGGGCGCGUAGGCGGAUAUUUAAGUCGGGGGUGAAAGCCCAGGGCUCAACCCUGGAAUAGCCUUCGAUACUGGAUAUCUUGAGUACGGGAGAGGUGAGUGGAACUCCGAGUGUAGAGGUGAAAUUCGUAGAUAUUCGCAAGAACACCAGUGGCGAAGGCGGCUCACUGGCCCGAUACUGACGCUGAUGCACGAAAGCGUGGGGAGCAAACAGG
rnacentral:rRNA from 1 species